UCGCGUUUCGUCUCAUCCUUGUGCGCCAUGUCGCACAUGCAAAUGCAGCAAAACACGGCAACAAGUAAACAAACCGAUUGGCUGGCGGCUGACGAAGCGACGUGGUGCGACGCCCCACUCGAAGGCACCUACACAAGCUCGCGCUAUUGAAAAGCCACAUUGUAAGAAGUUGGGGGCGCAGCAGUGGGUAUGGUAACUGAGCGUAUUGAGGGCGCUGCCAGUGCCAACUGACCAACAUAUUCUACAAGCGAACGACAAUCGUAGAGCUGCGUACGACGUACGAUAUACAUAUGUGCAUACGAUGAUGGGUGAGGGGAGCGCAGCGUUGGCGAGGUGUAGGGUGUGGGGUGAGAGCGACUGGCGAGCGUUGAAGUGCAGUGUAGUACAUGCAUUGCGAAUGCGAAUGCAAAAAACUUUGAAGAACGAACGGCACGCAAUUCUACGCUGCGCUCUAUUGUGAGCUGGUAGCUUACCAUAGUGCUAGUAAAUGCGAAAGCUCAACCGCAUGAACACACUCAAAUGGGAAAACAACACCAGAAACACAAUAGUGCAUACACACAGUUGCAACAACAAUGCCAGCACUAACAACAAUUAUGGUUAUUAGCAAUAAAGACGAAAUGGGAGCAGCUGCGACGGCGCCAGCCAGCAGGCAAACAAUGCUUUUCGCUUACAUACCAGUGUCUUUCGUCUCAUUGGCGACCUCCUGCCAGGCCUUCUGGGUUUCGUCCUUCUUGCUGUAAGCUGGUAGCGUCGAGUUCCAAAGGCACGGAUGGUUUUCGACCAAUUGCACAAAGCGCACA